rnacentral:rRNA from 1 species
GACGUAGGGCGCGAGCGUUGUUCGGAUUUACUGGGCGUAAAGGGCGCGUAGGCGGCCACCGCAAGUCGACUGUGAAAUCUCCGGGCUUAACCCGGAAAGGUCAGCCGAUACUGCGGGGCUAGAGUGCAGAAGGGGCAACUGGAAUUCUCGGUGUAGCGGUGAAAUGCGUAGAUAUCGAGAGGAACACCUGCGGCGAAGGCGGGUUGCUGGGCUGACACUGACGCUGAGGCGCGAAAGCGUGGGGAGCGAACAGG